GACGAACGCUGGCGGCGUGCUUAACACAUGCAAGUCGAACGGUGAAGCGCCUUCCUUUUUGGUGGGUGUGGAUGAGUGGCGAACGGGUGAGUAACACGUGAGUAACCUGCCCCCUUCUUCUGGAUAACCGCAUGAAAGUGUGGCUAAUACGGGAUAUUCUGGGUCUGUCGCAUGAUGGGUCUGGGAAAGAUAUUGUUUCGGUGGGGGAUGGGCUCGCGGCCUAUCAGCUUGUUGGUGGGGUGAUGGCCUACCAAGGCGGUGACGGGUAGCCGGCCUGAGAGGGUGGACGGUCACACUGGGACUGAGACACGGCCCAGACUCCUACGGGAGGCAGCAGUGGGGAAUAUUGCACAAUGGGCGCAAGCCUGGUGCAGCGACGCCGCGUGAGGGAUGGAGGCCUUCGGGUUGUGAACCUCUUUCGCUAGUGAAGCAGGCCUGCCUCGUUUGUGGGUGGGUUGACGGUAGCUGGAUAAGAAGCGCCGGCUAACUACGUG
rnacentral:rRNA from 1 species